rnacentral:rRNA from 1 species
GACGAACGCUGGCGGCGUGCCUAAUACAUGCAAGUAGAACGCUGAAGGAGGAGCUUGCUUCUCUGGAUGAGUUGCGAACGGGUGAGUAACGCGUAGGUAACCUGCCUGGUAGCGGGGGAUAACUAUUGGAAACGAUAGCUAAUACCGCAUAAUAGUAGAUGUUGCAUGACAUUUGCUUAAAAGGUGCAAUUGCAUCACUACCAGAUGGACCCGCGUUGUAUUAGCUAGUUGGUGGGGUAACGGCUCACCAAGGCGACGAUACAUAGCCGACCUGAGAGGGUGAUCGGCCACACUGGGACUGAGACACGGCCCAGACUCCUACGGGAGGCAGCAGUAGGGAAUCUUCGGCAAUGGACGGAAGUCUGACCGAGCAACGCCGCGUGAGUGAAGAAGGUUUUCGGAUCGUAAAGCUCUGUUGUAAGAGAAGAACGAGUGUGAGAGUGGAAAGUUCACACUGUGACGGUAUCUUACCAGAAAGGGACGGCUAACUACGUG